rnacentral:rRNA from 1 species
GUGUCAGCCGCCGCGGUAAUACGAAGGGGGCUAGCGUUGUUCGGAAUUACUGGGCGUAAAGGGCGCGUAGGCGGUGCUGUAAGUCAGGCGUGAAAUCCCCGGGCUCAACCUGGGAAUUGCGCAUGAUACUGCGGCGCUGGAAUGCGGGAGAGGAUGGCGGAAUUCCCAGUGUAGAGGUGAAAUUCGUAGAUAUUGGGAAGAACACCGGUGGCGAAGGCGGCCAUCUGGCCCGUAAUUGACGCUGAGGCGCGAAAGCGUGGGGAGCAAACAGGAUUAGAUACCCUGGUAGUCCACGCCGUAAACGAUGAGUGCUAGACGUCGGGGGGCUUGCCCUUCGGUGUCGCCGCUAACGCAUUAAGCACUCCGCCUGGGGAGUACGGUCGCAAGAUUAAA